rnacentral:rRNA from 1 species
UAGGGAAUAUUGCAAAAUGGGCGAAAGCCCGAUGCAGCAACGCCGCGUGGGCGAUGAAGGCCUUCGGGUCGUAAAGCCCUUUUUGAGGGGAUGAGGAAGGACAGUACCCUCAGAAUAAGCCUCGGCUAACUACAUGCCAGCAGCCGCGGUAAAACGUAGGAGGCAAGCGUUAUCCGGAUUUACUGGGCGUAAAGCGCGUGCAGGCGGAUUGGUGAGUUGGAUGUGAAAGCUCCCGGCUUAACUGGGAGAGGUCGUUCAAUACUUCCAGUCUUGAGUGCAGUAGAGGGAAGUGGAAUUCCGGGUGUAGUGGUGAAAUGCGUAGAUAUCCGGAGGAACACCAGUGGCGAAAGCGGCUUCCUGGACUGUAACUGACGCUCAGACGCGAAAGCUAGGGUAGCAAACG